rnacentral:rRNA from 1 species
CAGCGCGGGUGCUUGCACCUGGCGGCGAGUGGCGAACGGGUGAGUAAUAUAUCGGAACGUGCCCUAGAGUGGGGGAUAACUAGUCGAAAGAUUAGCUAAUACCGCAUACGAUCUACGGAUGAAAGUGGGGGAUCGCAAGACCUCAUGCUCCUGGAGCGGCCGAUAUCUGAUUAGCUAGUUGGUAGGGUAAAAGCCUACCAAGGCGACGAUCAGUAGCUGGUCUGAGAGGACGACCAGCCACACUGGGACUGAGACACGGCCCAGACUCCUACGGGAGGCAGCAGUGGGGAAUUUUGGACAAUGGGGGAAACCCUGAUCCAGCAAUGCCGCGUGUGUGGAGAAGGCCUUCGGGUUGUAAAGCACUUUUGUCAGGAACGAAACGGUGAGGGCUAAUACCUCUUGCUAAUGACGGUACCUGAAGAAUAAGCACCGGCUAACUACGUGCCAGCAGCCGCGGUAAUACGUAGGGUGCAAGCGUUAAUCGGAAUUACUGGGCGUAAAGCGUGCGCAGGCGGUUGUGCAAGACAGAUGUGAAAUCCCCGGGCUCAACCUGGGAAUGGCAUUUGUGACUGCACGGCUAGAGUGUGUCAGAGGGGGGUAGAAUUCCACGUGUAGCAGUGAAAUGCGUAGAUAUGUGGAGGAAUACCGAUGGCG